rnacentral:lncRNA from 13 species
GUUCUACUUCACAGUCGGCAUUCUACUGUGUGGUGUCCCUGCUUUAGUCCCAAGGAAGACCAGCUUUCAGGUGAGCACCUGCUGCUCCCAGCUGCCCCAAGCUUUCUGCGGAGCUAUUAGAUGACGAGAAGCUCAGAAGUGCCUCUAGGGUCUCAUGCUAAACUUGACCAGAAUACCAAGAAAUUAACCAUUCUUUGAAGCUUAAGAAUGUAGAAGGAGAAAUGUCUAUUCACUUGAGAAAGCUCCCAAGAGCAUCUGAUAGCUGCAAACUUGGCAUACGUGAUUCCUGUCAUCCCUGGGAAAAUAUCCUCCUCAUAUGGAUUGCAUUGUAGUUUUGUUCCCUCAGCCCUGAUAUGUACUACUGGGUUAAUGCCAGCUAUCCCUCAACAUCUUUCAGGGGAUUCUCACUUUAACCUGAAAAAUAUUUUGACUUUUGAGAUCCUGGCUUGAUGAGAGUUCUGUCAGUGACGCUCAAGGCGGCAGAUAUGCUGUUCUGCAAAUCCACUAUUCCCAUCGCAUCCUUGCCAGGAGCACUGCAGCCUGUGAUCCCAGCAGCCUCCCAUGCUCUGAGGUGGUUUUCUUUCUGCAUGGCUGCUCUGGGGCACCGUCACCAGCUGGCUGCCUGUCAGCAGUGUGAGAUGUAAAUGUCCUUGUGCUUCCAGUCCUCCUUUACCACUUCUUGACAUUUUGCUGUAAUCUGGAAAGGGAGGUGGAAGAUGCUCUGCGCUUCCCACUUCUAUUCCCCAUUCUGGGGGAGCAAGGGAAGCACAGAUUGUAGCUUGUAAUUGAUUUCAAAUCUUUCUAAAAACAAGUUAAGAAUUUUAUAUUAUGUGCAUUUUACCACAGUAAAAACAAAAACAAACAACAACAACAAAAAUUAAGACCUGGAAGCACCCCCAUUAUCUUCCUUUCAAAAAAGCUACCCAAAUAAAGCAUUUUUAAUCUAAACUGUCUCUCUCUCU